ACCUGCGACCGGGUGCGCCCCACCCUGGGUGUGUGCCCCCACCCCGUUCAUGUUGGCUGGGGGGUGGUUUUUGGUUGUUUUUUUUUUGCCUUUUCUGGCUUGGAGUGGUUGGGGGAUAGAGGGGGGCUGGAAAUCAGUGCUGGGCUCGGAUAGGAGAGGCGGGGGGGGGGGUUUUCGAAGUGAUGAGGGAGAGGCGUGCGCACGGAAGGGUCCCCCAAGAGCACAGCCUGCCUUCACCACCUCCUUAAUGUGGGGCUGCCCCAAGCCUCACCCUGGGCCACUGCUCAGGGGGAAAAGAGGGAAUCGCGGUGCAGAAAGGCAAAGCUCAGUGUUCUCAGACACGUGUGUUCCCCCCCUCGUUUUGUCACGGCCAGCCGCGCCCUCACUUGUUUGUAAGGGAAAAAGUCCUCUCCCCCCUCCAGCUACAGCCCCUACACCCUCACCCUGCUUUGCAGCCACGCCGUUCUCCCAGCAGUUUGGUCACAGUGCAUGGAGCACUGGAAGAUGCAGCCACCCCCUCCCCCCCCAACCCCAUGGCUAUCAGCACAGCACACAGCAUUGCAGGGGGUCCUGGAAUGUUUUUAUUAUUGGAGGUUGUGGCAUUACUGGCACUGGCAGCGGAACAGACAGGCUCAGGAACUAUAAGAACUUGUCUUCAAGUAAAGGGUUCAUUACUGCUGGGUUCAUUACUACAUCAUGUGAAGGCCAAAAAAAAAAAAAAACCCACCAAAAUCCGACUAUAAAAAUAAAUUUACAUUUUGUAAAUAACAAAAGCAAAUAUAGUGCCCUUUGGCUUAACCAGACAACAACAACAAAAAAAACUAUUGGAUGUCAACCAGUUAUCCACAUUUCUGACAUAAAUAGAAAAUAUAAGUUAGUAUAACUCUUAAAAAAAAAAACAAUUUUGUACAAAUAUACACUUGCUUCUUUCUUCUUCCUCCUUUUUUCUUCUUUUUGAGGUUUUUUUUUUUUUUUUUUUUUUGCACUGAGAGAUCAGCAGAGAUUAAACAUUUCCAUAUAAGUGACUUUUUUUUUUUUUCCUCCUUUAAAGCUUUACACUUCUGGCCAGUGUACUCACAUUAGGCAUAAUACAUUUCUGUACACAACGUCACACAUUGCACACUCGUACGUUAACACUGCUCCGUGCGCAGCCGCUCCCGGCGGGCGGGCGCUNN
rnacentral:lncRNA from 1 species